UACGUAGGAGACGAGCGUUGUCCGGAGUUACUAGGCGUAAAGGGUGCGUAGGCGGCUUGUUAAGUCAGGGGUGAAAGUUUUCGGCCCAACCGGAAAAUUGCCUUUGAUACUGGCGAGCUCGAGUGCGUGAGGGGUAACCGGAACGAGUCGUGUAGCGGUGGAAAUGCGUAGAUAUGACUCGGAAGGCCAACGGCGAAGGCAGGUUACUGGUACGCAACUGACGCUGAGGCACGAAAGCGUGGGGAGCAAACAGG
rnacentral:rRNA from 1 species